GCUGUAGCUCCAUGGUAGAGCAUCUCCUUUGUGACCAGAAGGUUUCAGGUUCAGUCCCUGGCAUAUCCA